ensembl:lncRNA
CAAUGUUUCCUUGUGAUCGAUGAUGUACGAGGACGGAAGUACGAGUUCGACGGAGUGUGUGUGUGUGUGUGUGUGUGUGUGUGUGUGUGGUCUUCGACCUGAUGUACUGCUCAACAUAAAUAAUUCUCGCUAUAAUACACAAUACAAUAAGUUAUCAAAAUUAUCCAGGUUUAGCUAGCAAACUAAAUGCAACAUUUGGUAAAAACAUACGUAACUAAACAGGUAGCGAGUUAGUUUAGCUAAUGUUAGGUAGUAGCUAGCCAGACAGCUAGCAUUAGUUAUACUAUGUUUAUUAUAUAAUUAAGAGCAAUAGGCAAGUUUCCUAACCAGAUAGCUAAUGCUAGUCAUACUGCUUUUAUUUUAUAAUUACGAGCGGUAGCAAAGUUUGCUAGCCACAUAGCCAACAUCAGUUAUACUAUGUUUAUUAUAUCAUUAUGAACAGUAGCCAAGUUUCCUAGCCAGAUAGCUAAUGCUAGCUAUACUAGGUUUAUUAUAUAAUUAAAAGCAGUAGGCAAAUUUGCUAGCCAGCCAGCUAAUGCUAGUUACACUGUUUUUUAUUAUUUAAUUAAAAACAAUAGCCAUGUUUGCUAGCUAGAGCGCUAACAUCCGUCAUACUGUUUAUAUUACGUAGUUAAAAGAAGUAGCUACAUUUGCUAGCAAACUAAUAAAAUAUAAACUGCUGUGGUGAUCAAGUUUGCAAUCGGCUGAGUAACGGUGUAUGACCCCGGGAACCGUGUGAACACUGCAGGCUUUCCCACGGUAAACACACACACCCAUCAACAUCAUGGUCAAUAUUCAUAUCCAUUAAAUAACGUGUAGCAUGUUUUCAAUAUUACAAUAACACACACAUCUGUUAUCCCAGUGGCUCUGAACACCCUGUACAGCUGUAUGUGCGUGUGUGUGUGUAACCUGCAGCUGACAAACAAUAAGAUAAAAUUCGGACAUUUUGUACAGUAGUGUUGAGUUCUUGCUAGUUUCAAACGGUUAAGCUCAUGUGAACCCUGUUGCUAGGCAACUAGACAACAUGGUUGCCAGAAC